GAUGAACGCUGGCGGCGUGCCUAAUACAUGCAAGUCGAACGGAAAGGCCCUGCUCUUGCGGGGUGCUCGAGAGGCGCACGGGUGAGUAACACACGAGUAAAACGCCCCUGUCUUUGUGAUAACACCACGAGACAGCGGCUAAUAUCGGAUAGGAGCUCCUGCACCACGGGGGGGGAUGGAAAGAUUCGGCGGUGGUGGCUGGAUUGGCGGCUUAUCAGCCUGUUGGGGGGGUAGUGGAUGACCACGGCGUUGACGGGUAGCCCGCCUUAGAGGUUGGCCAGCCACCUGGGGCCUGAGGGACGGCGCAGACUCCUACGGGCGGCAACAGUGGGGAAUAUUGCACAAUGGGCGGACGCCUGUUGCGGCAACGCCGCGUGCGGGAUGACGGCCUUCGGGUUGUAAACCGCUUUCGCCGGUGACGAAGCGUGAGUGACGGUAAUGGGUAAAGAAGCACCGGCUAACUACGUG
rnacentral:rRNA from 1 species